GGCCACUUCACGUUGAAACACCCUUUCUCGUAUGAUCUCAUAUGAUCACCAGAGUUAAGCAACGUCGAGUCUGGUCAGUACUUGGAUGGGUGACCGCUUGAGAAUACCAGGUGCUGUAA